rnacentral:rRNA from 1 species
UACGUAGGUGGCAAGCGUUGUCCGGAAUUAUUGGGCGUAAAGCGCGCGCAGGCGGUCCCUUAAGUCUGAUGUGAAAGCCCACGGCUCAACCGUGGAGGGUCAUUGGAAACUGGGGGACUUGAGUGGAGAAGAGGAAAGUGGAAUUCCAUGUGUAGCGGUGAAAUGCGUAGAGAUGUGGAGGAACACCAGUGGCGAAGGCGACUUUCUGGUCUGUAACUGACGCUGAGGCGCGAAAGCGUGGGGAGCAAACAGG